rnacentral:ncRNA from 1 species
CAUGUGAACAUCACUUGGACAUGGGUUAGUCGAUCCUAAGAGAUGGGGGAUCCUUGUAUCAAGGGUGCACUCUGCAUGAACAUAGAAAGAGAAUUGGGUUAAUAUUCUUGAACCAGGACAUGGGGGUGGAUGACAAUGUUAGGAAAUCUGGAGAUGUCAUCGGGGGCCUGGGAAGAGUUAUCUUUUCUUUUUAACGAAUUUCCCACCCUGAAAUUGGUUCAACCAGAUAUAGGGUCCAACAUAUGGAAGAGAACCACACAUCUUGCGAUGUUUGGUGCCCCCUCGACGGCCAUUGAAAAUAUGGAGAACCGAGUACCAUCCAUGCCCGAUCGUACUCAUAUCUGCCUCCUUGGAUU